UUUUCUUUCCGUCGCGGCUUUGCUGAGGAAGCCAUAGGAAACUGGCUGAAUCUGCAGCCCCAGAAUAACAACUUUGAAGCUUGACAUUCAUAUAUUCUAGUACUAGCCAGGACCAGAGAAAAAGCAAAUGAGAGCUUCCUUCAGAGAUGAUGAACACUUGUGCCUUUCUGCAGGAGAAUGGUCAGGAAUGCCUAGAAUUCAAAAGAUGGGACAUCUAUGGCAGCAAGAGCCUGGGAAGCAAACAAACUGUGCUUCACAUCACUCCAGUAAUUCAGUAUUCACAGCAGACUGAGAUCCAGCAAUUGGGCUGAGCUGAACUGACUGAUGUCCUAUGCUGUGCCUGAAGCAAGAGGUUGCAUGAACCUCAUCAACCGUGGGAUCAACCUAUGUAUGAGGUAAGGACCUCCAGGGGUGCACCAUCUUUCCUCCCUCCCUGAUGAACAUACCUUUUCCUCAGAGAAAACAAGCAGAUGAACUUGUCUGACCUUUGUUCUGUUGUUCAACAUUAGCAGGGAAUGGGUGCAGAUAACUUGUCAAAGGGGCAUACGAUAUGGAGCUCCUCGUCCUGCUUUUUGCUCUCCAAGGCCCAGUAAGUUCCGUAGCAUCAUCAGGCUGUCCCUGUCUUGUAGCUUCUCUCUUGCAGAGCCAGUACGUAACAAAACUCCUCUAAUAGCCUUUAUGGUCUUAACCCAAUUUCCUUCAAAACUGACAUAUGCUGUGAGCUUUGAGAGGCAUUAAGAACUUCAGAAGGCUGCUUAUUAAUAUCCCAUGGAAAGGAGGGAUUGUGGCAUUCUGAGUGCCUGCAGGCAAGCAAUAGAGAAAUCCUAUCACUUGUUUUGGGGCAGAAAAAACUCAUGCGUUUAUCAAACUUAAGACUGCCUCCUUCAGCAAGAAU